rnacentral:rRNA from 1 species
GGAUUGGGUAGCUACAGGCGACGACGGGUAGCCGGCCUGAGAGGGUGACCGGCCACACUGGGACUGAGAUACGGCCCAGACUCCUACGGGAGGCAGCAGUGGGGAAUAUUGCACAAUGGGCGCAAGCCUGAUGCAGCGACGCCGCGUGAGGGAUGACGGCCUUCGGGUUGUAAACCUCUUUCAGCAGGGACGAAGCGCAAGUGACGGUACCUGUAGAAGAAGGACCGGCCAACUACGUGCCAGCAGCCGCGGUAAUACGUAGGGUCCGAGCGUUGUCCGGAAUUACUGGGCGUAAAGAGCUCGUAGGUGGUUUGUCGCGUUGUUCGUGAAAACUCACAGCUCAACUGUGAGCUUGCGGGCGAUACGGGCAGACUAGAGUACUGCAGGGGAGACUGGAGUUCCUGGUGUAGCGGUGGAAUGCGCAGAUAUCAGGAGGAACACCGGUGGCGAAGGCGGGUCUCUGGGCAGUAACUGACGCUGAGGAGCGAAAGCGUGGGGAGCGAACAGGAUUAGAUACCCUGGUAGUCCACGCCGUAAACGGUGGGUACUAGGUGUGGGUUUCCUUCCUUGGGAUCCGUGCCGUAGCUAACGCAUUAAGUACCCCGCCUGGGGAGUACGGCCGCAAGGCUAAAACUCAAAGAAAUUGACGGGGGCCCGCACAAGCGGCGGAGCAUGUGGAUUAAUUCGAUGCAACGCGAAGAACCUUACCUGGGUUUGACAUGCACAGGACGCUGGUAGAGAUAUCAGUUCCCUUGUGGCCUGUGUGCAGUGGUGCAUGGCUGUCGUCAGCUCGUGUCGUGAGAUGUUGGGUUAAGUCCCGCAACGAGCGCAACCCUUGUCUCAUGUUGCCAGCACGUAAUGGGUGGGGACUCGUGAGAGACUGCCGGGGUCAACUCGAAAGGAAGGUGGGGAUGACGUCAAGUCAUCAUGCCCCCUUAUUGUCCAGGGGCUUUCACACAUGCUAACAAUGACCGGUACAAGGGCUGCGAUGCCGUCGAGGUGACGAAUCCUGUAAGCGGUCUCAGUUCGAUGCGGGUCUGCCAACUCAACCCCAUAAAGACGGAGUCGCUUGGAUAAUCGC